CAACCACCCAAACCUAAACGAUCUAGAAGCAGAAAUAUAAUAUGGUUCAACCCCCCAUACAACUCCAAUGUCAUCACCAACAUUGGAUACAAGUUUCUUCAAGCUAUCGACGAUUCCUUUCCUCCUAACCACCCUCUACACAAGAUAUUUAAUCGAAACACCUUGAAAUUAAGCUACAGCUGCAUGCCUAACGUUCAUUGUAUUGUCUCUGGUCAUAACAAGAAAGUACUCAACAAACAAGACAAAACUGAAACAACUAAGAAUCAAACGUCUGAAACUAGAGUAGUGAGUGCAAUUGCCGUAAGAAAGAUUCCUGUCCUCUCUCCAGUAAAUGCUUAACAAGCAGCAUUGUUUAUCAAGCAACUGUGACUAGAAACGAUACAAAAGAGGAAAAGACCUAUGUAGGACACACAG